UGGGGCUGCCACAGAUUUUCCACCUCCGGGGCCAACCAACGGCCAGGGACGGAGGCUCAUUAGUGGCCAUGAGGGCGGCCGUCCCCGCCAGUGCCAGGCCUGUCUGCUGAGGGAGGCGGGCGGCAGCUUCGCGUCAAAUGCAAACAACCGUCCUUGUUUUCCUUGGUUGCCAGGGUAGGAGUUGACAUUGUCCCCAGCGGAGCACAAGGACUCCCCGUGACAUGGCGGGGACAAUGGGAAGAAACAAUUCAGAAAGUGACGCAUUACUUCUGCCUGUGGACAGAGGGAACAGCUGAAACGUGGGAGACCAGACUACAGCUGUGUGACUACAGCUUUUUUUUCUUUUUUUUUUCCUUUUUUUUUUUUUUUUUUUUUUUUUUGACAACACAUAUUUUAGUGAAUAAAAGCUACUGAUUCUCUCUGCUGGUGUUUUGGACCUUAUUUACUUCCCAAGGUGGUGGUAGUGGUGGUUGUAGUCACCAGAUUGUGAAAGGAAGAGUGAGACAACAAGAGAAGACACAACCUCUUUACUGCUGGGGGUCCAUGCCAUGUUUAAACCACGGCAGUCACCCUGCUUGCCUUGGCUUCCUUGCCCUGCUCCACUCAGGCAUCCUUGUGUUCUCCUCUCAGUCAUUACUCAGGGUCCUGUCCUGCAAAGCAGCCUAACUGCCACAGAUGAUUGCAUCCAUCAGGAAGAUGGUGACAUUUAUAAGACGUAAAUAUUCACAGGGAUAAAUUAGCCUCAGAAAGGCUUCUGUAGCCAUUUGGAAAACCCUCACACUCCAAGACCCAUCAAAUGUUUAGGGAAUAUGUGUGAAACAGGAAAAAGUAGAACAAAACCUUUUUUUUUUUCCUAUACUGUGGCAUGUAGAGAGGCAAUGCCAUUAAGACUGGGUGACAUCCAUCACAGAAACUGAUUAGUCAGAACUCCAAAUAACCCGUUUACUAGCAAGUCCAGGGUAGCAUUUUCACAUGUUUCUCUUUCAUUUCCCAAAUUGCCAAGCAGCUAUGAAUAGGGCCAUGCCCAAAAACUUGGUGUGACCUGCAAAAUUGAUGCUGUGAGAAGGCUUCAUUUGUUAAGAGUUCAUCUGCAAAAGCUAGUGGGGCUGGCUGGAAGUCUCCCUCUACCUUUUCUCUGGUUUUCUUUGCCCUUUGGAAGAGACGUGGGAAGAGCAACAUCUCCUGGAGACAUUUGUUCUGGAAUCAUGUGAUUCCUUGCACCUCCAAAAUAACUUCCCUUGCAGAAAUGCCUGCAAUGGGUACAUGCAGUUGGAG
rnacentral:lncRNA from 1 species